ACGCACGUUGGCGGCGUGCUUAAUACAUGCAAGUCAACUGAAGCAGUGGUAGCAAUAUCGCUGUGGAGGUGGCGCACGGGUGAGUAACACGUAGGUAAUCUGCCUUCAGGUCUGGCAUAACUCCGGGAAACCGGGGCUAAUAGCAGAUGAUGCAGCGGCUCGACAUCGAGACAGUUGUUAAAGCUAUGGCGCCUGAAGAUGAGCCUGCGUCUGAUUAGCUAGUUGGCGGGGUAACGGCCCACCAAGGCAACGAUCAGUAGCUGGUCUGAGAGGAUGAUCAGCCACACUGGAACUGAGACACGGUCCAGACUCCUACGGGAGGCAGCAGUAAGGAAUAUUGCUCAAUGGGAGAAAUCCUGAAGCAGCAACGCCGCGUGAGGGACGAAGGGCUUUUGCUUGUAAACCUCUGUAGUGAGAGAAAAAAAUCCCAAUCUUUGGGACAUGAUGGUAUCUCAAAAGUAAGCCCCGGCUAACUACGUG
rnacentral:rRNA from 1 species